rnacentral:tRNA from 1 species
AUUCAAAUAGUUUAAGAGAAAAAUAUAAGUUUGUGGUGCUUAAGAUGUAAGUUACUUUGAAUA